rnacentral:misc_RNA from 1 species
UUUCCGUAGGUGAACCUGCGGAAGGAUCAUUAAAGAGAAUAUGCCCUUCGGGGUAGAUCUCCACCCUUUGUUUAUAUUACCUUUGUUGCUUUGGCAGGCCCGUCUUCGGACCACCGGCUUCGGCUGGUCAGUGCUUGCCAGAGGACCCAAAACUCUUAUUAUUAAUGUCGUCUGAGUACUAUAUAAUAGUUAAAACUUUCAACAACGGAUCUCUUGGUUCUGACAUCGAUGAAGACGCAGC